CAUUCUUUGUUCAUUCAUCCAUUAAUGGACAUUUAUGUAGAUUCCAUAUCUUUGUGAUUGUGAAUAGUACUGCAAUAAACAUGUAAGUGCAGGUCUCUCUUUGAUAUAAUGAUUUAUUUUCCUUUUCCUUUUGGUAGAUAGCUGGUAGUGGGAAUCCUAGAUCAAAUGGUCAUUCUGUCUUGAGGUUUUUUUGUUUUUUUGAAAUCAUUAUGCUUUUUUAUUGUGGCAGUACUAGUUUACAUUUCCAAAAACAGUGUAUAAUAAUUCCCUUUUCUAUUCAUUCUUGGCAACAUCAAUAAUUUUUUAUCCUUUUAAUAAUAGCCAUUCUGACCUGGGUAAGAUAAUGUCAUGUUGUGGUUUUUAUUUGCAUUUCUCAGAUGAUUAGUCAUGUUAAGCAUUUUUCAUAUUUCUGUUGCUCAUUUGUAUGUCUUUAGAGAACUGCCUGUUCAUAUUCUGUCUUUUGCCCACUUUUUAAUGGGGUUAUUUGGCUUUUUUUUCCUGUUGUGGUGUUCCUUGUAUAUUUUGGAUAUUUAUUCCCUCUUGGAUACAUAGUGAGCAAAUAUUUUCUCCCAUUCAACAAGUUGUCUCUUUACUCUGUUGAUUAUUUUCCUGUGUGGAAGCUGUUUUGUUUUUUUUUGUUUUGUUUUGUUUUUUUUAAUUCCCAUUUGUCUAUUUCUCUUUUUGUUGCCUGUGCUUUUAGGGUAUUAGUCACAAAUUAUUUGCCUAUACCAGUGUCCAGCAGAAUUUUCCCUAGGUUUUCUUCUAUCAUUGUUAUGGUUUCAGGUCUUAUGUGUAAGUCUAAUCCAUUUUUAGUUGAUUUUAGUAUGUGGCGAGAGAUGGGGUUUAAUGUCAUUCUUCUGCAUAUGGAUAUACAAUUUCCUCAGCACCACUUAUGGAAUAUUUUCUUUCCCCAUUGUAAGUUCUUGUCAGCUUUGUCAAAGAUUUGUUGGCUGUAAGUUAGCGUCUUUAUUUAUGGGUUCUCUAUUCUUUUACGUUGAUCUAUGUGUCUCUUUUUAUAUCCAAACCAUACUGUUUUGUAUACUAUAGCCUUGUAGUAUACAUACAAAUAUUUAUAAAUUUAUUUCUAUAAAAUGUCAACUUUUAUUUUAGAAAAAAAGGUUUUCUACAUGGUUUUUUACAUGGAAACAUUUUAUGAUGCUGAGGUUUGGGGGUAUGAAUCCUGUCACCCCGGGAGUGAGCAUAGCACUUGAUAGGUAGUAUUUCAGCCUGCAUUUGUUCAUGUUUGUUGGCUGCUUGUAUGUCUUUUGAGAAGUGUCUGUUCAUGUCCUUUGCUCAUUUUUUAAUGUGGUUAUUUGGUUUUUGCUUGUAGGUUUAUAUAAGUUUCCUUUAGAUUCUGGAUAUUGAGCCUUUGUCAGAUGCAUAGUUUGUGAAUAUCUUUUCCCAUUCUGUAAAUUGUCUGUUUAUUGAUAGUUGCUUUUGCUGUGCAGAAGCUCUUUAGUUUAAUUAGGUCCCACUUGUCAAUUUUUGGUUUUGCCGCAAUUGUUUUUGCGGAGUUAGCCAAUAAUUCUUUGGCAGGGCUGAUGCCAAGAAGAUAAUUUCCUAGGUUGUCUUCCGGGAUUUUUAGUUUGAGGUCUUACAUUCAAAUCUUUGAUCUAUUUUUAAUUAAUUUUUGUAUACGGUGAAUGAGAGGAGUCAAGCUUCAAUCUUCUGCAUGUUGCUAGCCAGUUAUCCCAGCAUCAUUUACCGAAUGGAGAGUCCUUUCCCCAUUGCUUGUUUUUGUUGGCCUUGUUGAAGUUCACAUGAUAGGCUUGUAGUUUUAUCUCUGAGUUUUCUAUUCUGUUUCAUUGGUCUAUGUGACUGUUUUUGUACUAGCACCAUGCUCUCUGGGUUGCUUGAGCGUUAUAGUAUAGUUUGAAGUCAGGUAAUGUGAUGCCUUUGGCUUUGUUCCUUUUGCUUAAGAUUGCUUUUUCUAUUCAAACUGUUUUUUGGUUCCAUAUACAUUUUAGAAUAGUUCUUUCUAAUUAUGUGAAGAAAGAUGGUAGUUUGAUAGAAAUAGUGUUGAAUCUGUAGAUUGCUUUGUGUAGUAUGGUCAUUUUUAAGAUAUUAAUACUUCUAAUUCAUGAGCGUGGAAUGUUUUUCAAAUUAUUUGUGUUAUCUCUGAUUUUUUUCAACAGUGUUUUUUAGUUCUCCUUGUAGAGAUCUUUCACCUUCUUUGCUGUAUUUCUAGGUAUUUCAUUUUGUUUAUGGCUACUGAAAGUGGGAUUGUGUUCUUAAUUUGCCUCUCAGCCUGGAUGUAAUUGGUGUACAGGAAUAUUACUGAUUUUUGUAAGUUGGUUUUGUAUUUUGAAACAUGUUAUUUAUCAGUUCUAG
rnacentral:lncRNA from 1 species